rnacentral:rRNA from 1 species
GGAGUUUGGUCCGUUUCUCAAUUCCAAUGUGGCUGAUUGUCCUCUCAAACCAGCUAGAGAUCAUCGGCCAGGUGGGCCGUUACCCCGCCUGCUGCCUAAUCGUACGCAUCCCCAUCCAUCGGCGGCCGAAGUCUUUCGUGAAAAUCAGAGGCCUUCUUCUCACAACAUCAGGUAUUAGGCUCCCUUUCGGAAGGUUAUCCCUGACCCAUGGGCAGGUUGGAUACGCGUUACUCACCCGUGCGCCGGUCGUCAUCUGGCUGAGCAAGCUCCGCCAAUGUUACCCCUCGACUUGCAUGUGUUAAGCCUGUAGCUAGCGUUCAUC